rnacentral:rRNA from 1 species
GGGGUCAGUAGGUUGGUCGUGCCACCGGUACGUACUGGUCUCACUGAUUCCUCCUUCCUGAAGAACCGUAAUGCCAUUAAUUUGGUGUUGCGGGGAAACAGGACUGUUACUUUGAAAAAAUUAGAGUGUUUAAAGCAAGCUAACGCUUGAAUACAUUAGCUUGGAAUAAUGAAAUAGGACGAUCGAUCCUAUUUUGUUGGUUUCUAGGAUUGACGUA